rnacentral:lncRNA from 1 species
CUCAAGAAGGCUGGAUGAAACCACCACAUAACAGAGCUGUCCUUCAGGAGGGGAACAGUUGCUGCCAGUUGUGGAUGUACAGCUCAUUGGACCCUGCUGACACUAUCCUGGUGAGGAAUUGAGGAAGACCUGCUUCUGCCAGACAGGGGAUGGAAGAGCAGCAACCCCCUCAACCAGUCAACACCAACCUGGGUGGAAUCAAAGUGCUGCUGUCUGUUUCCAGUUGGAAGCUUCUACAGGGUCCUGUCCAGGAUACAUGGGAGGUAACAAGGAAACCCAGGGAACCCCUUGCAGUGUUGGUCCUCAAGUCCCAAGGUACCUGAGGAGUCACCUUCUUUUGAACUUCAGAGUCUUUCCAUGCAUGUUUGUUGAACUAUGCCCAGGGUUUUUAGUUCUAAGAAGGAGGACCUGGGAGGAAUGAGGCAACUUCAAUUUGGUCUUCACCAAAAGUCCUCUUUGUAAAUACCUUAG